rnacentral:rRNA from 1 species
GUCCAGACUCCUACGGGAGGCAGCAGUGGGGAAUAUUGCACAAUGGGGGGAACCCUGAUGCAGCGACGCCGCGUGAGUGAAGAAGUAUUUCGGUAUGUAAAGCUCUAUCAGCAGGGAAGAAAAACCGACCAUAGGGUCGCUAGACGGUACCUGAUUAAGAAGCCCCGGCUAACUACGUGCCAGCAGCCGCGGUAAUACGUAGGGGGCAAGCGUUAUCCGGAUUUACUGGGUGUAAAGGGAGCGUAGACGGUAGAGCAAGUAUGAAGUGAAAGACCGCGGCUGAACUGCGGGACUGCUUUGGAAACUGUUCAACUGGAGUGCUGGAGAGGUAAGCGGAAUUCCUAGUGUAGCGGUGAAAUGCGUAGAUAUUAGGAGGAACACCAGUGGCGAAGGCGGCUUACUGGACAGUAACUGACGUUGAGGCUCGAAAGCGUGGGGAGCAAACAGGAUUAG